UGGCCUCAAAUUCAUGGUGAUCCUUCUGCCUUAGCCUUCCAAGUGCUGUGAUUACAAGUGUGAACAACCACACCCAGGUGAUAUAUCUAUUUGUAUGGAGCUGCUAUCUUCUAUACUGAGUCUUCUAAUCCAUGAACAUGGCAAGGGGGAUCUACACCUUCCCUUCAGGAUCUGAAAGUAAAAAGGACAGCUGCUCUCUUGAACUUGAACUUGCUUAUUAUAAGCUCUUAUCAGAAACCAUCGGUCUCUGUGUAUUGAUUUCUGGCCAACGAUUAACCAGAUGUGACCUUAGAGCCUUGAUAAAAGCUGAGGAACUCACUCAGCAGAGGGAAGCUUGCUAGUUUAUGAACAAAGCACAUAUUCGCAGACCCCCUCAACCUCUGUCACACCAGCACCAUGUAUACCCAUCAGUAGAAGAAAGGAUAAAGAAACUGUGGUACCUCUACAUGCUGGAAUGCUACUUGGCUACAAAGAGGGAUACAUCUGAGAUAUUUGAAGGAAAAUACAACAGUCUUCAGUCUUCUAGAGAGGACGCAUCUCCCACUGUCUUCACCUCUGGAUAUCAGUCUCCAGUUUCUUGGUCUUCCGAAGCAGACUCAUACCAGUGACUCUCCAGUGAGCUUCCUGGUCUUCGAUCUUGAACUGGGACUGCAUCCAUGAUUGCUCUUGCUCUGUGGCCUCCAUCUUGGGCUGAGAAACUACUGGUUCCCUAGCACACAGCAGCCAUUGUGAAUGCUGCCCCCUCUUAUCCUGAUGACCUCUGAAGCAUAGCACUGAGCAGACUGCUGGUCCUGUCCAUUGUUUUAUCUGACCAUGUCCUGAAGAUGAGAGACUUACAUGUGGAGCAAAGUCAUCCAAUCAGUAUGAGCCAGAGCAGAGGCAUUCCGGGAGUACGCAGAGGGCAUGCCAUUGAGGAUCUGGGAGAUUUCCACCAUAGCAGUCAGCUGACUGCAUCCCCAGGAGGACCAGGCAGAGGAAAAC